UGCACAAGCCGGCGAGCAUGUGGUUUAACCCGACACAAAGCGAAGAACCUUACUACCCUUGACAUCCAGAGAACUUUCCAGAGAUGGAUUGGUGCCUUCGGGAACUCUGAGACAGGUGCUGCAUGGCUGUCGUCAGCUCGUGUCGUGAAAUGUUGGGUUAAGUCCCGCAACGAGCGCAACCCUUAUCCUUUUUUGCCAGCGGGUAAUGCCGGGAACUCAAAGGAGACUGCCGGUGAUAAACCGGAGGAAGGUGGGGACGACGUCAAGUCAUCAUGGCCCUUACGGGUAGGGCUACACACGUGCUACAAUGGCGCGUACAGAGGGCAGCCAACUUGCGAAAGUAAGCGAAUCCCAAAAAGCGCGUCGUAGUCCGGAUCGGAGUCUGCAACUCGACUCCAUGAAGUCGAAUCGCUAGUAUCGUAGAUCAGAAUGCCACGGUGAAUACUUUCCCGGGCAA
rnacentral:rRNA from 1 species